rnacentral:lncRNA from 1 species
AGCCUAAGCAAGACCUGAAGCACCUCAGAGCGCCGACCUCCAAGUUCUCCUCCACUGCCACCACCCUCAUUGCACCCCGGCUCACCUUCUCAUCCCACCCACCCCUUCCCUGCUCAGUGGUGUCCUGCACGCCAGCAACCUGCAGGGUGAUUUAGUAAACUGCCCCCUGCUCCGGUUCCUGUUCCUGCUCCUGCUCCUCCUCCUCCACCUCCUCCUGCCAGCUCUCGCUCACGCCUCCUCUUCCAGUCCCGGCGCCCAGACUUCGCAAAGCUCAGCGCCCGCCGCCUGCAGCCCCACGGGGCUGCCCAGCGCAGCGCGCUCCUGCUCCUUCUCGCCGCAGCCAGGGGGCACGGGCGCUGGCAAAGGACGCUCGAGGGCCCAGCGCCCCUGGACGCAGCGUGCCCCAGAACUGGGUGUUGAGAGAAGCUGUGCUUUGCUAAAGCUCAGGAGAGAACGGAGCGCGUUCGGAGUGCGACUUCGGGAGCCAGCGGGACGCCCCAGGUUGCCUAGUGCGACGCGGCUGCACGCACGGUCCACAAGAAUCCUGAUUUUGUUUGGAUAG